CAGUUACUUGGAUAACUGCGGUAAUUCUGGAGCUAAUACAUGCACAAAGCCUCGAACUUACGUGAGAGGCGCUUUUAUUAGAUCAAAACCAAACGUUUUCGAACGUUUUCUUGGUGACUCUGAAUAACUUUGGGCUGAUCGCAUAGCCUUGCGCUGGCGACAUAUCCUUCGAAGGUGUGCCCUAUCAACUGUCGACUGUGGCAUAGACGCCCACAGUGGUUUUGACGGGUAACGGGGAAUCAGGGUUCGAUUCCGGAGAGGGAGCCUUAAAAACGGCUACCACAUCUAAGGAAGGCAGCAGGCACGCAAAUUACCCAAUGACCGAAGGUCGAGGUAGUGACGAAAAAUAACGAUACGGGACUCAUCCGAGGCCCCGUAAUCGGAAUGAGUACACUUUAAAACCGUCCCCGAGGAUCUAUUGGAGGGCAAGUCUGGUGCCAGCAGCCGCGGUAAUUCCAGCUCCAAUAGCGUAUAUUAAAGUUGUUGUGGUUAAAAAGCUCGUAGUUGGAUCUCCACAGUCUGAGGUUGGUGUACUUGCUAGUACUACUGCCCUAUAGACUGUAGUUUUGCCAGAGGUGCUAGGGUGCUCUUAAUCGAGUGUCCUAUUAUGCUGGCAGGUUUACUUUGAAAAAAUUAGAGUGCUCAAAGCAGGCUAUUACGCCUGAAUAUUCGUGCAUGGAAUAAUAGAAUAGGAAGUCGUUUCUAUUUUGUUGGUUUUUAAGUUUCGACUUAAUGAUUAAUAGGGACAAACGGGGGCAUUUGUAUUCAAACGACAGAGGUGAAAUUCUUGGACCGUUUGAAGACAAACUACUGCGAAAGCAUUUGCCAAGAGUGUUUUCAUUAAUCAAGAACGAAAGUUAGAGGUUCGAAGGCGAUUAGAUACCGCCCUAGUUCUAACCAUAAACGAUGCCAGCUA
rnacentral:rRNA from 1 species